CCUAAAGGAGUAGAAGACUCAACAAGGAGAGUAGAUAAUCUAUUGGAAAAGAAAGACCAAGAGCAGAGCAUAGUGGCCAUAUAACCAAAUUUGAAAGAUUCAGGAUCUAAGACUCUGUUUUGCAUGGAGAACCUCAAUGAAUCUACAUUCAGUGCUUCAGAUAAUCCUCCUCUUGUCACUCAAGAAGAUAACUUUCUUAAUAAUUCUUAAUGUCUAGACACGAAUUAGACUCUAUCUUAGAGCUUGUUUGAUGUAAGUUUCCUCUUUUGAAAAUCUUCAUUUGAUGAAAAAGACUAGAUUAUUUGGAUAAAUGGAUAAAGUAUUUUUUGUAUUUAGUAAGAAGGGAAGAAGUUAGAUGAUGGAUCCUGGGAGGAGGUAGGAUUAGACCAAAUCUUUGCUAAUUGUGUUUAUUCAAUCUUUUAAAUAAGUCCCGGAUUAUGGUAUA